ACCAUUAAUAUUCUUUUCCAAUCCCAGGUUUUUGAAGUUGGUCAAAAAGCUGAUCCAAAGGAAGAAGUAAACAUCACUGAAGUAGAUGAAAGCAGAUCAAAGAAGUGCUUGAAAGAUUUAAAUGAGGAGCUACUUUGUUGUAUCUGUCGUGAACUGAUAGUAUUGGCGCACACUUUGCCUUGUUCACACACUUUCUGUUUUGGUUGUAUCAGGGACUGGCUUUGUCAUUCAAAAGACUGUCCAAACUGUAGAGCAAAGGCUCAACUCAAGUCUGCUGUACCAGUGAAGGUGAGUGAAUCCUUUACACCCUAACAUCAGUAUGCAUAUU